UUGACCUCAAAUCAAGUAGGAUUACCCGCUGAACUUAAGCAUAUCAAUAAGCGGAGGAAAAGAAACCAACAGGGAUUGCCUUAGUAGCGGCGAGUGAAGCGGCAAAAGCUCAAAUUUGAAAUCUGGCACUUUCAGUGUCCGAGUUGUAAUUUGUAGAAGUAACUUUGGAUUUGGUCCUUGCAUAAGUUCCUUGGAAUAGGACGUCAUAGAGGGUGAGAAUCCCGUUUAUGGUGAGGAUACCAUUUCUUUGUAAAGUGCUUUCGAAGAGUCGAGUUGUUUGGGAAUGCAGCUCUAAGUGGGUGGUAAAUUCCAUCUAAAGCUAAAUAUUGGCGAGAGACCGAUAGCGAACAAGUACUGUGAAGGAAAGAUGAAAAGAACUUUGAAAAGAGAGUGAAAAAGUACGUGAAAUUGUUGAAAGGGAAGGGCUUGAAAUCAGACUUGGUAUUCAGUGAUCAAUUACCUUUCGGGGUGGUGCACUCGCUGUUUACUGGGCCAACAUCGGUUUGAGCGGUAGGAUAAUGACUUUGGAAUGUGGCUCCUCGGAGUGUUAUAGCCUUUGUUGAUACUACCAGUUUGGACCGAGGACCGCGUCUUUUGACUAGGAUGUUGGCGUAAUGGUUUUAAGCCAC
rnacentral:rRNA from 1 species